CACGUAGGGUGCGAGCGUUGUCCGGAAUUAUUGGGCGUAAAGAGCUCGUAGGCGGUGUGUCGCGUCGGCCGUGAAAACCUGGGGCUUAACUCUGGGCGUGCGGUCGAUACGGGCAUCACUGGAGUUCGGCAGGGGAGACUGGAAUUCCUGGUGUAGCGGUGAAAUGCGCAGAUAUCAGGAGGAACACCGGUGGCGAAAGCGGUUCACUGGCCCGACACUGACACUGAGGUGCGAAAGCUAGGGUAGCAAACGGG
rnacentral:rRNA from 1 species